rnacentral:rRNA from 1 species
UAGCAUAUCAAUAAGCGGAGGAAAAGAAACUAACAAGGAUUCCCCUAGUAACUGCGAGUGAAGCGGGAAAAGCUCAAAUUUAAAAUCUGGCAGUCUUUGGCUGUCCGAGUUGUAGUCUGGAGAAGCAUUUUCCGUGCUGGACCGUGUACAAGUCUCCUUGGAAUAGGGCGUCAUAGAGGGUGAGAAUCCCGUCUUUGACACGGACUACCAGUGCUAUGUGAUGUGCUCUCAAAGAGUCGAGUUGUUUGGGAAUGCAGCUCAAAAUGGGUGGUAAAUUCCAUCUAAAGCUAAAUAUUGGCGAGAGACCGAUAGCGAACAAGUACCGUGAGGGAAAGAUGAAAAGCACUUUGGAAAGAGAGUUAAACAGUACGUGAAAUUGCUGAAAGGGAAACGCUUGAAGUCAGUCGCGUUGUUCAGAAUUCAGCCUGGCUUUUGCUUGGUGCAUUUUCUGUUCAACGGGCCAGCAUCAAUUUUGAUCAUUGGAAAAAGGUCUUGGGAAUGUGGCAUCUUCGGAUGUGUUAUAGCCCUUGAUUGCAUACAAUGGUUGGGAUUGAGGAUCUCAGCACGCCUUUAUGGUCGGGGUUCGCCCACGCUCGUGCUUAUGAUGCUGGCGUAAUGGCUUUAAACGACCCGUCUUGAAACACGGACCAAGGAGUCUAACAUGCCUGCGAGUGUUUGGGUGGAAAACCCGAGCGCGUAAUGAAAGUGAAAGUUGGGAUUUCUGUCAUGGAAAGCACCGACGCCCGGACCAGACCUUUUGUGACGGUUCCGCGGUAGAGCAUGUAUGUUGGGACCCGAAAGAUGGUGAACUAUGCCUGAAUAGGGUGAAGCCAGAGGAAACUCUGGUGGAGGCUCGUAGCGAUUCUGACGUGCAAAUCGAUCGUCAAAUUUGGGUAUAGGGGCGAAAGACUAAUCGAACCAUCUAGUAGCUGGUCUGCGA